CUCUCUCUCUCUCUCUCUCUCUCUCUCUCUCUCUCUCUCUCUCUCUAUUUCUUUGUUCUUCUGAGAUUGUAUCCUCGAGUUGACUCCUGGACAAUCAACUCGAUCCUCGAAUCCUUGUGAUUCCUGCAAUCGAGUAACAUUGGUAUCAAAACUUGACUAUCCUUGGCAUCGAGUAACGAAAACCCUAAUGCAGAAAUUGGGGAUUUGCGUAAAAUGAUACAAAAUCUGAUAACAGAGGUGGGACAUCUAGCUGGGAAGGUCUCAUCCUUGGAGAAGUUAGAUCACACAGUGAUGGAAUUAAGGAAGCAACUAGCUGGUGAUAAUCAAAGAAACACUGUUCCAUUGAGAAAUGAAGGAGAUUCUGAUCAAGGUGAGAGGGUCGAAUUGCAUAGGGAAAAGAGAAGGGAGUCCUGGCAAUUUCAGUAACUCUCAAUUUCAUAAUAGUCCUAAAUUCCAUCAUUCAAGAUUCAAUCGAUGGUCAAGAAUAGAAUUCUUGAAAUUCAAUGGUGAUGAUUUGAGAUCCUGGUUGUUUAAGAUUGAACGGUUCUUUUCUAUGAAAAAUGUAGCAGCUGAAGAAAAAGUGACAAUUGCUUCUAAGCAGUUGGAAAGGAAAACCAUCCAAUGACAUGUAUCUUUUAUGAGAUAUAAACAGUAUUUGCAGACAAUCGGUUGGAAGGAGUAUGUUGGAGCUUUGGUUGAAAGGUUUGGCACUGACUUUGAUGAUCCUAUGGAGGAAAUUAAAAAGAUCAGACAGAUGGGAAGCGUAAGAGAGUAUCAAGCAGCUUUUGAGAGAAGUUUGACAAGGGUAAAUCUUUCAGAAGAGAAUGUUAUCAGCUAUUAUAUUGGGGGUUUAAAACCUGAGUUAAACAUAGCUGUGAAGAUCACUAAUCCUUCCUCACUUUCCCAAGUGUACAAAAAUGCAAGAAUGCAAGAAGCAUAUCAAAAUGCUAUGACACAACCAGCAAUUGUGCAGUCUCAGAUGAAUGCAAGGAGGAUUGCAGAUCAGAGAAAUAGCAACAACAAUCUUUUUUUCCUACACCUAGUAACUAUAAUUCCAAUUUUUCUAAGGGAAUGAACAGAAGGACCUUGAGCAUAGAAGAGCUAAAUGAAAAAAAGGCAAAGGGAUUGUUGCUACUUCUACAAUGAGACGUAUAUACCUGGCCAUAAAUGCAGAACCUCCAAGCAAUUAUAUUUGUUGGAAAUAGAUGAAACGAAAGAAAUGGAGACAUUAGUUGAAGAACACAAUAGAGAAGUACAAGAGGAACAUGUUGAUCCACUGGAAUUGGUACAACCUGUAGAACACAUGGAGAUUUCUAUGCAUGCCUUGAAUGGAUCUUUAGGAUUUAGAACCUUGAAGGUGAUUGGUUAUCACUCUAAAAUGGGAUUGCAUAUACUAAUUGAUACUGGGAGCUCUCACAACUUUAUAGAUCCUGAACUAGUUAGAAAAUUGGGAUGUGAAGUAAGAUGUAUUAAUCCUGAGGUAGUGGCUGCUGCAAAUGGAAGUAUGAAAGUGGAUCAAAUGACUACUAUCACUUGGUUGUUGCAAGGUGCUGAAUUCUGUGCGGAUUUCUUAUUGUUACCUUUGGGAUAUUGUGGAGUUGUAUUUAGAUUUCAAUGGUUGUUGACUCUAGGUGAUAUCAAGUUGAAUUUUAGAAACUUAACAAUGGAAUUCUGGCACAAAGGGAGAAAACAUCUACUUAGAGGGUCCGACAGUCAAGUGUUAACUCCUAGCGCUGGAAAAUUGGCAAAGCAAACAGGAAUACAAUCUCAAUUGUGUAUAAUUCAGGUGAUCCCUCAAGGAAGUGAUGAAGUAAAGUGGCAUCCAUCAAAAUCUGAUAAUGAUCAGAAGGAAGAUCCUACAAUAUUAGAGGUAUUAUCAAAAUUUGCUAUAUUAUUUGAAGAACCUGGUAGUCUAUCGCCCUCUAGAGGUAUAUUCGAUCAUAGAAUUGUAUUGUAAUCUGGUAUUGAGCCUGUGAAUAAGAGACCUUACAGGUAUCCUUUGGUUAAGAAGGAUAUCAUUGAAAACAUGGUUCAGCAAAUGAUAAACCAAGGGAUCAUUCAACCUAGUUGUUGUCCCUUUGCCUCACCUGUGGUGUUAGUAGGAAAAAAACAUGGUACACGGAGACUAUGUGUAGAUUAGAGACUUGAAUAAGUUGUCACACCCCUUUUUAACUCCAAAUAGAUAAAUUUUAUUUUUCAAAAGGGUUUUUAUUAUUAAGUGAAAAAAUGAAGAUUUAUUUCAAAAAGGACCUUUCAUAUUCAAAACAGAGUCGCCACUUGGCAUAAUCCGAUGUGCCAAGUCACCUUUGAAAAUCCUUUUCAAAAUGAUUUUGACUCUAAGACUGAUCCGCGAACAGAGAUUCCGGCUAAGGAAUUCUGUUGACCGAAGGAAAGGUGUUAGGCACCCCUCAAUCCCGUGGUUUGACCACGGUCGCUUGGUGGAACAUAUCAGCUAAUUUGACACUACGAAUGUACAAACCACACAAAAAAACGUAAAACAAUCAAACAAAACAAAACGAAUCAAAAAUAUAGUAUCCAGUCUAACUAUACAGUCCCGAAUAAUGAAAAAUGCAAAAAUAUAAACCCAUUCUAUUCCAAACUAUCCCUAAAAUACUCCUGAAUUAAGCUUCACCCGACGUUCCGGGCCUUGACCGUGCGCCGUCUUCAAGUACAUGAUACUUCGGGACAUUCACUGACAAAUGAACACAAAUACCUUGGGGCAUUCUCUGGCCAAAUGAAUACAUCUGAGAUAACUAGAAAAACGUUCAAAACAUACAUCUAAACAUUCAACGCAUUCAAUCAACACAUCACUCCCAAAUUUUGCCUACCCGAACCUAAACAUUUUCCUAUCCCAUUCGACCUAUCAUGACACUAUACAAUUCACAAGCUUGAAAUUAAUUCCGCAUUAAACAACAAGACCAACAUUAAUCCAAAUUGACCCUUUUCAUCAAUCUCAAAAUUCCACCCCAAAUUCCCACAAUUCGCAAUCACCAGUACAACUAUCCUUAAUCAAUUUUUUAUUCACGAAAUUAAACAACAACUCAACAUCACUCAAAUUUCUUCAUCAAAAGCAUAAACAUCGACAAAAUCAAACAAUCAUGAUCAACAAGCACCUAAUCACAUUCACAGCCAAUUCAUUCAACCAACCAAAUAAAGAAAAGGAGAUGGGUUAAAAAAAUGGACCUCGAUAUAAUAUUUUAUCGAUAAUAAAGAAAUCCAAGACCGAAACCUUUAAAUGGGAACCCCAACAACAAAACAAAACUAACUCGAAUUGGGAGAAAUCCAAACCCGAAACUGAAAUUGAACUUAAAUUUCAAAACCAGUACCGAGCUCGAUGAACCAAAACGAAAAUUGCAAUAAGAGAGUCAAUGAGUUCGAAAAUCCGAUAAACCCAUCGGAACACUAACAGGAACAACGGCUGGGUGUUUUCCGGUGGAGUUUGAACUGAAAAACAAGGACCCUUUGCUACACCUGAGCUCCGGUAAGUUCGGCAGCAACUAGAAACAGAGAUAUGAUCUGUAGCGAAAGCAUUUUCGGUGAAAAACUCAGACUAAAUUUCUCUCUCGCACGUUUCUUCUCUGCUUUUAACUUUCAACCUUAAAUCUCACUCUCUCCAGUUCGAUCCCCUCUUUCUCUCUAUUUUUCUCUCGACCUUGCUUCACCCUCACCUCAUUUUCAUGUAAUCGCCUAUAUCUAUGGGUGUAUUUGAGAGAUGUACGCCUAUGGCAUAUUCUAUGUGUAUCUUGGUGUUGAUGGAUUGGUUCUUUUUUCUUAUCUGUGAGUAUGAGGGUCUUUAUGUACUCUGAGAGGAAAUGGUCAGGCUUCUGUGUGUGUAUAUUGUAUUCUGUGAUGGCAUUGAAGAAAAGAAAAAUUCUCCACUCUGUUGUGCGUACUCCCCCUUGGAGAAGAUGAACUUUCUCUUUCUGCCCCCUUCUCCGUGGGUCCCCCUUUUCCCCUUCUUAUUUUAUAUUCUGUUAUGGACCCCAAAAAGGAAAAAUAGAGAUUUUAUUAAGGGUUGUUAUUUUUGUAUUUUUGUGAAAUAUAAUUAUACGGAUGAGGACACAUAGUAAUACGAAGGUGAAAUGGUAAAAAUACUAUCGGGGAGAGACAAAAUUAGGUGUCUACAUAAGUUUGUGAAAAACAAAUUUUCAAUCCCUAUUGUAAAAGAC
rnacentral:lncRNA from 1 species